GGCUCGGUAGCUUAGUUGGUAAAGCGCUCGUCUAGCAUAUAAUAGUCCUGGGUUCGAGUCCCAUCCGAGUAC
rnacentral:tRNA from 1 species